UCCAGACUCCUACGGGAGGCAGCAGUGGGGGAUAUUGCACAAUGGGGGGAACCCUGAUGCAGCGACGCCGCGUGGGUGAAGGGGUAUUUCGGUAUGUAAAGCCCUAUCGGCAGGGAAGAAGCAAGACGGUACCUGACUAAGAAGCCCCGGCUAACUACGUGCCAGCAGCCGCGGUCAUACGUAGGAUCCGAGCAUUAUCCGGAGUGACUGGGUGUAAAGAGUUGCGUAGGUGGCAUAAUAAGUAGCUAGUGAAAUCUGGUGGCUCAACCAUUCAGACUAUUAGCUAAACUGUUAAGCUCGAGACCGUUAGGGGUAACUGGAAUUUCUAGUGUAGGAGUGAAAUCCGUAGAUAUUAGAAGGAACACCAAUAGCGUAGGCAGGUUACUGGGACGGUUCUGACACUAAGGUACGAAAGCGUAGGGAGCAAACGGGAUUAGAUACCCCCGUA
rnacentral:rRNA from 1 species